rnacentral:lncRNA from 1 species
GCCAAUAAAAGUGCAACUGUAGCAAGCCAAUGCUCCUCCGUACAUGGUGGCAUCAGUGCUGAAUUACCACAAUAUUGUCCCCAUCCUGGCAUCCAUAGCAUUGAUCGAACCACCGGGUGCAACUGACGUGAAAAAUGGACUCAAUUCAUUAUUGUCACUAGCCCAUGGGCGGUGUCAUUACUCGAAUUUGGCAUGGUCCAGAGGAUUUCCUUGGUAUUUGCAUCCCGCGGCACCCAUCCACUAGCACUGCUUGUUCGGGUAGAUGGUUGGACAGUGAAUGGGAGGUUAUUGCCGUUGACUAUAUUUAUGCACAGAGGUACUCCAUUGGUGGCUAUACCCCGUAAUCCUCCUUCCAUGCUUCCUGGCUCUGUUUUUUACAAAAAAUAAAGAUGAAAGAUCAUUUAUUUUUCCACUUAAAUUUCUUCAAUAAUACUAGACCAACCGAAAUAGGUGAACGAAUCCUUGACCUGCUGAGGUGGAAAUGGGGCCAAUAAUUAAGAAAGAAAAUGCCAAAUUCUUUCGUUAUUUAAAAUAUAUUUUCGUACACAAUAAAGGUGGAAAUCAGGCUCACGUGCAAACCCUUUUGCCCAUAUUUCUUUUCCUAAACCCUAUUUCCCUCAACAGUUAAGUGUUUUUCCUCCAAAGCAAUUCAGCAGGUUCCACAGCGCUGCACCUAAUCUCAGAUCGUUCGUUUGACGCCAGCAAUGCUGCAUCAGUAGCUGCACCAGAAGGAUCCAACCUCUUCGUUCGUCAUACACCUACAUAAAGUAAGUUUGAAUAAUGCUAGGAAUCUUUUUUUUCCCCAUUUUGAUUCGAAGAUUUUUUUUCCUCAUUUCCGUCGUCAUUUGCUUGUUUAAUGAUGAAGUCUUGAGAUUAUUUUUGUUCUUUUCCCGUUUCCUUAAAUUUUGAAUUAUUAUUUAUUUAUUUUUAUUUUUUUUAAGAAUUUGUCAACUUUUGGAUGGAUCUGCUUUUAAUGUUUUGAUUAGGGUUUUUUGUGAUAGUAUAGAAUUGCAAGUGUAAUUAUGCAAAUUGUGUAGUUUCAAUUUUCUGAUUUACAUGUAUGAAAAAUUUAACAUGCUUAGAGUAUGAAAAAUUUACAUGUUGUUCCCUAACGUGCUUAGGCCAUUAGGGAAGACAGUCCAGCUGAUUCAUCAAAGUGAGGUAAGGAAGUAUACAGAACUAAAGCGUAAGAAGAGCCAACUAAUCUCUACAUCCUACAAGAAGGUUUGAGUUUAAGUAUUCUUUUAAAUUAUAUGAUAUCCUAUAUAGAAUCCAUAUGUUUAAAAUUUUAAUCAAUUUUACAAAUUCCACUCACCUUCCUCAAAUUGGUAUCAAUUUUAACUAUCAUGGCUACCAUAAUAUGGCUAUACCAUGCAUCAAUAAGUUUCUCAGGUUCCAUUGUACAAUCUAAAUCUAGGAUUGUAACUUGCUGGUUACUUCUUUUUGGAACAUAAUCAGAUUGCAGAAGAUUCUGAUCAAAUGAUUCAUUCAUAGGAAUGGGUCUAGGAUUAUUAUCUCCUUCAAUCCCUUUUCCAUCUCCAUUUGGAUUAUAACUUGUUGAUUCUAGAAGGUUAAUUUCUUGUAGUUUUAGUUUUCUGAUUUACAUUUAUGAAAAAUUUAACUUGCUUAGAGUAUGUUGCUCUGCCAAUUUAGAUCAACUAUUGAGCUCCCCCAUCCCAAGCGGUGAAACAAUUGGUAAUUAAUCAACUACUUAACUAUAUAGGUAUGUUUGUUGUAUUGAAUAGAAUUGGACACAGACAUUAUAGUAGAAGAGAAAAGAAGUUAAAAUCAUGAAUUAGGUAUAAGAAUGCUCUUCACUUUAAUAUUUUGGAAUGAAUUGGACAGUGCAUUACUGGUAAGUACAAUGUGCACUUUCCAUUUACAUCUUCUUGUCCUAUGACCAUGUCUAAUUUAUUUGUGAAAUUAUGCGUGGGGAAUUCAAGUAGCACAAUUGGACUAAGUAAUUCUACUCAAUGUUGAGGUAGCUAUUACAUGAUUUUUUAUUGUUUUUUAAAGGAGGUGAAGAUCAUAUGACGAACGAAGGAGGUGAAGAACUAUUAUCAAUUUUUAUCCCGCAAGUGGACGGAUCGUAAAAAGUAGUAAAGUAGACAUUUUGAGUCCGGAUUAUCGUUCUCACGAGGACUAUACCUUAAUACUCAAUUUAUUAUUUCUAGCUUCUAUUUGAUGAAAAUAAACGAGAACAAUGAUUAAAAGUGAUUUUUAUUCUAACUACUUAAAAGUUCGUGAGUACAACAGAAAAUGAAUAAGAAUUCAAAUAAUAAAUGGGUAUUAGGGCGGAAUAACAUCACCUAUUGGUCACCUUUACUUCUAAUAUCGAGAUUCAUAAAAUCUAAAGUAGUGUUCAGUCGAAUUCUUCUACAGUAUUCAAUUUACCCCUCUCGAGUUCUCAUUGAGCCUAUUUAAAUAAUUCAAUUCGAUAUCUCUAUGUGAAUCAACAUUAUUUAAACGAAAUAAUAGUUCUAAGAAUUCAUAUAGGACCGCAGCAAUUAAUAUAGGUAUCUCUACACGUUAUAUUAAUUUACCAAAUUUUAAUAUGUGGUCUAAACAAGAAUCUGCAUCUCUACGCAAUUAUUGUUCACGAAAUCAUGGAAUAAUUGGCCAAAAAAUUCAAAGUAUUAAUAACAUAAUUAAAAUCUACACAUGAAAUUAUAACGAACAAGAAUCUCAAAUAAAAGAAAUAAAGGUUCCCAAAUCAGUUACAUUGUUCGCCCUAAAAUCAGAUUAGCCACCCAUAGUAAUGAAAGAAGACAAGAAGUUAUUAUGGAAGACAUCAC